CCUUAGGGACAGGGAUAACACUCCGAAAGGAGUGCUAAUACCUGAUACGAUAAAGUCUUCAUAUGGAGAUUUUGUGAAAGGUGACCUCUUCUUGAAAGUCGCUGCCCUUAGAUGAGCUCGCGUACCAUUAGCUUGUUGGUGGGGUAAUGGCCUACCAAGGCUAAGAUGGUUAGCUGGUCUGAGAGGAUGAUCAGCCACACUGGAACUGAGACACGGUCCAG
rnacentral:rRNA from 1 species